CCUACGGGAGGCAGCAGUGGGGAAUAUUGGGCAAUGGGCGCAAGCCUGACCCAGCAACGCCGCGUGAAGGAAGAAGGCUUUCGGGUUGUAAACUUCUUUUAAGAGGGAAGAGCAGAAGACGGUACCUCUUGAAUAAGCCACGGCUAACUACGUGCCAGCAGCCGCGGUAAUACGUAGGUGGCAAGCGUUGUCCGGAUUUACUGGGUGUAAAGGGCGUGCAGCCGGGAAGUCAAGUCAGAUGUGAAAUCCCGGGGCUCAACCGCGGAACUGCAUUUGAAACUGGUUUUCUUGAGUACCGGAGAGGUCAGCGGAAUUCCGUGUGUAGCGGUGAAAUGCGUAGAGAUAAGGAAGAACACCAGUGGCGAAGGCGGAUGACUGGACAGCAACUGACGGUGAGGCGCGAAAGCGUGGGGAGCAAACAGGAUUAGAUACCCGUGUAGUC
rnacentral:rRNA from 1 species